UAUGGAUGAGCACAAAAAGAUGAGACAGAUAUUUAUUUGUUUCAUUAUCGCCUAUCAUUUAACAUGUCUUGUUGAAUAUCACAAAGUUGUGUACCUUUCCACUGUUAUUGACACGAAGUCUCCAUGGUUACUGGAUAGAGUUAAAAAUCAGAGCUAUUUGUAGGAUGAGCACCAAAGUUCCAAUCAAGAAUUGAUGUACGGUGCGCUAUCCCAGCAGUUAACUUCUUAUGUUGUGGCAGAGGAAAAAUUAGUGUAAAAAAUUAUGCUUGAUUAAGUUAUAUGAUUUGUGAGAUUCCAUCAUGUACAUUAGGGAGCUUAAUACAUUGAUUUGAGGGAUAUUGCUAGUUUCUUUUCCUGGUGAUUAGCCUCUUAAUUGUCGUCAAUUCCAAGUCAAUAAGCCUGGUUCUCGAUCGAGGAAUUUGCAUGCCCUGCCAAACGAACUAGCCAUUUGGUGGAGUUCACUAUGAUCAGAGCGCCGAUAUCUCUGCCAGCCACUAUGUAUGGGUGAAUCUAUCCGUGGAUCCUUUGGAUUUCUCUCUAUAUGAGGCUUACCAAGAUGAAAGUGUCCAACUGUCAUAUUUUGCAAACAUUGCCCUUUUAAUGAUUUUAGGAUGCCUAAGCAAAGCCCAAGUCCUUAGAAAGCUUUAGUAGCAUGUUUGGUAGGGAGAAUUUGAUUGGAUUGGACUGUACUAAGAAGCAAUUCUUUUGAAUACUUCAUGCCAUAUAUACGCAAUCAUUGAGUUUCCUGUCCUCUAUAUCACUAGAUCUAUUUAAUUCAUGUUUCAAUUGCAAUUUGCAUGGUAAAUUGCAAUUACAUAUCUUACAUAUGUGUGAUUUCUAUAAAUUCCUCUCUCGGUCAAGUUGUAGAAGUUUGGUGGCACUUUCUG
rnacentral:lncRNA from 1 species